rnacentral:lncRNA from 1 species
UCCAUGUCUCUCCAAACCCUCAUCUUUGAUCUUGCCGAUCUUUUCGACCUCACCUCCAUCUAUUGGAUCGAUAUUUUAUUAUUGCCCUGGGUCCUCCCAAUCUUGAUCCAGCACAAAUACUUGUUGUAAGUUGGCAUGGCCAAUGAUCUCACUUUCAAUCUAUUUGGCCAACUUAUCUCCCCCCAACUUCUCCCAUGUCACUCAGCAGCCUAUUUACCCUCCUCUUCCCCUCAUGGUCCUUAAAUCUGCUACCACUAGGACCAACUCUGAUCUCUUAUUAGGUUCGGGUUGAGUUC